ACGAUGACCCGUUGAGAAGCCAUGUUAGUGCUCCGGCUGUCAAUCAGAAAGUGAGGGUCGGAGCCGCGGAUCUUCAGCUCAAAUACCCGGACACCGUCAGCGGGAGGAGGAGGAGGCUGGAGCAACAGGUUGAUGGAACAGACAACCAAGAAAAAAGAGCUCAAAGACAAUAAAAUGCUUUAGAGAGAUUCUCCUACAGAGUCUCUUUGCCAGCCCGCUUUCCCAAUCAGCCUGCAACUCGCUGUGCCAGAAGCCACGUCCACCUCCUAAGUCUGCAAACAGUCAGUCAUCCACCCACCAGGCCACAGAGCACACUCAGAGCCACCAGUCAUCACACAGGUCAAGAUUCCCACACCAAGCUGCUCACCUGCUGCAGCCUCCUCUUCUCUAUAUACCGCCUAUCAAAUAAGUCUGUUCACAAUAACAAAAAAAUAAAUGCUAUGUUUUGCCUUUGGGUCCAGAAAUCUAAUGAUUAACUGCAACAAUUACAAAAAAAAAAACAUUGUACAAAGGGGCUGUGCAGUGACUUGGUGAGCACUGUUGCCUGCUUCACAUCCCAACCUGGGAUCUUUCUGCAUGGAGUUUGCAUGUUCUCCCUGUGCAUGCAUGUUUUUUCACCGAGUUCUCCGGCUUCCCCUUACAGUCCAAAAAUAUGCUGAGGUAACUCUA